GGAAGUGUGGCCGAGCGGUUGAAGGCACCGGUCUUGAAAACCGGCGACCCGAAAGGGUUCCAGAGUUCGAAUCUCUGAGCUUCCGCUA
rnacentral:tRNA from 1 species